AUACGGAGGAUGCGAGCGUUAUCCGGAUUUAUUGGGUUUAAAGGGAGCGUAGGUGGGAUAUUAAGUCAGCUGUGAAAGUUUGGGGCUCAACCUUAAAAUUGCAGUUGAUACUGGUUUCCUUGAGUACGGUACAGGUGGGCGGAAUUCGUGGUGUAGCGGUGAAAUGCUUAGAUAUCACGAAGAACUCCGAUCGCGAAGGCAGCUCACCGGGCCGGAACUGACACUGAUGCUCGAAAGUGCGGGUAUCAAACAGGAUUAGAUACCCUGGUAGUCCGCACAGUAAACGAUGAAUACUCGCUGUUUGCGAUACACGGUAAGCGGCCAAGCGAAAGCGUUAAGUAUUCCACCUGGGGAGUACGCCGGCAACGGUGAAACUCAAAUGAAUUGACGGG
rnacentral:rRNA from 1 species